UAGGGAAUCUUCGGCAAUGGACGAAAGUCUGACCGAGCAACGCCGCGUGAGUGAAGAAGGUUUUCGGAUCGUAAAACUCUGUUGUUAGAGAAGAACAAGGACGUUAGUAACUGAACGUCCCCUGACGGUAUCUAACCAGAAAGCCACGGCUAACUACGUGCCAGCAGCCGCGGUAAUACGUAGGUGGCAAGCGUUGUCCGGAUUUAUUGGGCGUAAAGCGAGCGCAGGCGGUUUCUUAAGUCUGAUGUGAAAGCCCCCGGCUCAACCGGGGAGGGUCAUUGGAAACUGGGAGCCUUGAGUGCAGAAGAGGAGGGUGGAAUUCCAUGUGUAGCGGUGAAAUGCGUAGAUAUAUGGAGGAACGCCAGUGGCGAAGGCGGCUCUCUGGUCUGUAACUGACGCUGAGGCUCGAAAGCGUGGGGAGCAAACAGG
rnacentral:rRNA from 1 species